rnacentral:misc_RNA from 1 species
AUAAGCCCGAAUUAAAAUGAAUUAUAUUGUAAUUUGACAACACUCUUUCCAAAUUUAACAUGGUAUAAAAGUUCAAACUGAGUUGUGGGUUCCAAUCGCCCAUAAAACUAUAUAAUUGAGCCCAUAUUGUGUUAAAAAUAUAAACUAAUUGUCAAGUAACAACUAUGUAAUCGCACUUAAGGGAGGAGUGUUGGGAUUAUAAAUCCCACAUUGAGAAAGUAGAAACAUAAAAAGCUAAAUAUAAAUUGUUAGAUAGCAACAUAGACUUGGCCAAUCAUUUUAAUGUGUAAAACAAUUUAAUCACUGAUAUAAGCUCGAAUUAAAAUAAAUUAUAUUGUAAUUUGACCAACACUAUUUCCAUAUUUAACAUCCUCCAAGUCUACACCCAAUGCUCAAAUCUACUCAAUAGUCAAUGCUGGACUGAAAACAAGCCAGUUGGCCAUUUAUGGCCGAGACAUUUUUUAAUUGACACAAGUGAGAAACUGUAGUAUUUCUUCAACCAGUUUUUUCUUGGUACAUAUUAGAAGAGAAAUCAUGAGAUUGUUACAAUACUAUUAGAUCAAUUUUCUCUACAAGUUCCAUUCUAACGCCAAAUUUUUUAUUGCUUAAACUAGGUUUCG